AGAAACUGAGUCAGAGGAGCAGCUGUGGGACUCGUGCAAAGCCCUGUGGAAAAUGGGGGAGACCACGGAAAGGAGAAAACCCACCAAACUCCACUCCAGUCCUUAUUUUUCCACUUUAUAGCCUGAGGGAUGAAGAAUGGGCACAAACGCUGUAACAAGGAGCCAAGAGCCCUGCUGUCCUUCUGAUCAGCCUUGUGGCACCCCCAGCAGCCCUGCUGGCUGAAGCAGGUCUGGCCAGGAAACCUUCAAGUAGCAGCACUUUCCCUUUUAAGCAGUCUGGCUUCCAGAACCAGGAGAAAAUGCGGUGGAAGAGAUGAGCUACUCUUCUGGGGAGCAACUUCUUUGUCAAUGCGAGUGAGUGAAUCCUGGUGCAACCUCAGGACAGUAAUUAUCAUCACUGUUAUAUUGGUAAGGAAGAAAAAAAAAAAAAAGGGUUUUAGAGCUGACAGAAUUUGCCCAAGUCACCUGGAUAAAAUUGGGAACACUCCCUGACCGAUCAGGAACAGACUGAGACUGGAAACCAGUUGCCUUGAUGCCUUGCUCUAACCACUAGACGACCCACCCUGUAUGAGCAAACGGAAUAAAAUUUGAAAGAAAACAAAAAUCUGACUUGAAAAAUGUGUUCCGCAUAGAACCAGAAUGUUCAGCGGAGAAAAAAGGAUGCAGUCCAAAGUUUUACUUCCAGGCAAACAUUUCAAAAUGGACUUAUAAUGUACCCUUUCAUUUAGAUUUUAUAUGAAGGUUUUACUUGAACUUGUAAUGAAGAUGGAAAAAUCCGAGGUUGCCAUGGCUACUGGCACUUUGCCUAAUACACUCAAAUCUUUUUCCCCUAAUAAAAUAGAUUUCAGAAACCCCCCUAUAAAAAGGGAAGAGUUAAAGACCCUAUAAACAACUGUAGGAUGAAGAAUAUUAUUGCAUGUAAAGCAGGUUCUGAACAUCAUGGCGAGGUAAUUAUGUUAAUUCUUUUUUUCUGCUCACUAGUUAGGUCUCCAAAACCCAGAGCCCUGCUCUAGAUGGUUCUCCUGCUAAUAAAACACCAGGAGUAAGAAAAUCAGGCGGUGGAGCGCAAAGUGCCUGGUACUCCUUCUGGGAUGUUCCUAUGUUGGUUGGAAAUGCGUUGGCCUUGUCAGGUAGGAAGAAACCUGGUUAUUUUGGAUGCUCUGGCGGCCUGCAGCUCCAUCGCAGUGGUGACGGACCCUCUUGGGCAGGCAUUUCAUCCAUGCUAGGUUCUGCUCUGCGCUCAUGCCAGCAAAAUUUACGAUAGUUCAGGGUCCCUGGUACUGUACAGCAGUUGCUGCUGGUGAGAUGAUGAAUAUUUGACCUAAAUCAAGGACUGGACUUGAGAUCUUGUUUGGUUAGCAUGUACAUUUUUAUGGUCUGGGUCUUGGCUGGGAGAUGAGCUAGUCCGAGCCCUGAUGCACACCUCAGGUGUUGCAGGCAGAAGGCAGCUGGGAAGGCAUGGAAGAGGCAGCUAGCAGGCAUGCCCUCCUGAGUGUUGGCAGCUCGCCGGCUGAGGUGAGACUUGGAUCCAGCAACACUCUUCUUCAGCUUCGGCUUCUUCUUCUUCCAUACGUCUCUGCAGGGAUGGGUUCUUUGUUCAUGGGAGCAGAGAGAGCUCUGGCCAUUCCCCUGUUUUUUGCAGGGCGGUUGUCUCGUUUGCCUGAUGAAUUCAGGUAAGACUGGGGCUUUUGUAGCUUUUUUCCUUGCAAUUUCCCCUGGAGCUCUCAGUGGGAGCUGAUUUGGGCCAUGCAGGAAAGAGGUUGGGCUUUGAGGUCUUCUCAGAGGAGGCCGAGCAUGCUGGAGUUUCGGGGAUGGAUGGACAGAGUGCGUGCACGCAGAAAUGGCUAGAGCUGGUCGAAAACCGGUUGUGUCAUUCGUAUGGGUAGGAGACAGCACAGACCAUGGAGAUGCAUGAUAAAACCCCGUGGACUUGUCCUGGCCCUGCCUUUGUUGGUGCGGUGGAGGGAACCACUGACGCUCUUGUUCUCUUCAGGCUUUUGGGGGAUCCUUUUAAUGCAAUGGCUCUUCGGCUUUUAAAAGUGGUGGCUGUCCGCCAGCCCGAUUUAUUUUAAACAUGUGUUUCUGAUUUGAAAAUGUCCAGAUCUUAAAAUCUUUAAUCUUCUCACACCUAGGGAUUUUUUGUUUUGCUUUGUUUUUGUAAAAGGCUGAACCACGUGCACAGGAUAACGGUUAAAAAGCAAUACGGACUGUUUAAAAAAAAAAAAAAAGAAGAAAGGGAAACAGUAAAUAAAAAAUUCCAGCUGGCACUCUUCUGUUAUCAAAGCAAGAUGCAGCAUGGAGAUUCGCAGAUGCCAACAAAUAAGGCUUUUGUCUGUCUCACCGCUGUAAGCACCGAUGGAACUCCCUGAACUUAGUGCUAAAAAAGAUCCUAACAGAUCCCUCCCAGACGAAGGAAGAAAACAACCCCCAGAGUAUUUGUAAGGCUGAAGCAGGUUGUCUUCCUAUACAUUUAAAAGCAAUCCAGUUCUGGUGUAAAACUGGAAGAAUUGGGUCCCCUUGCUGCCGGAGGCUCAGCAGGGCACGAAGGCUUUCCCUCCUUGACCUGGGAUUUGGGAAGGUCACUUGCUCUUCCCUGCGCUGCCAUGGAGGCGGAGAGGAGAGGAGGUCAGGUCAGCCCGGGGAAACCUCUCCUGGGGAGGGGACAGGAAGGACUCGGACAUGAAUCACCGGGAGGACUUCAAAGGAGGUUCCUCCCCUCGCAGCGCAGGAGGAACAGCUCGGGAUGAGCCCUGCUCCACGCAGAGAGUCCCCAGGACGUUUUGCAUUAGUAGCAUGUGAUGGAAAUCAAAACUGACAGAUUUAAAAUGUGCAAGGGGAAAAAACUUUUUUAUAGCAACCUACAAUUAACGUGCGGCUCAGAGGGGCUAUAUAUACAAACGUCUAACCGAAGACACUUGCUGCAGAAAGAUGUUUUUUUCAGGCAUAUGGCUUAUUUAAGAUCUAAACAAGUGAUUAAACUUUUAGCUCUGCAGAAACGCUCAUCACUUGCCAAACUGCCCUGGGAGCGCUACCGCCGGCUUCAGCCGGAGCAGCGUUAGCAGCCGCAAGGCGAGCUGACCGAGCGCUUUUGCAGGCUCCCUCCUGCUGCAUUUUCAUGCUUGUUUGCGUGCCGCUCCUUGCGCUGCUGUAGCCUCUGCUGCAAAUGUGAUUAAUUCAAAGCAUGUCUGAUAGACGGUGUCAUCUGUUCACCGCUCCCCCGCCCAGAAGCAUCCCCCGCGGCCCCCGAGGCACGUCGCACCGUCCUGCCACCGCCAACAGUUGGUGCAGAGAGACUCUGAGAGAGGCGGAGCACGAGAGGCUGCUGCACCUUUGGUGGGACCAGCCAUGCAGCCCUUGCCACCGCAGCAGCCGCCACCUUCCCGUGCAUCUCCCAGGGAAGGGGUGCCAGCAGAAACGGGGGUGGGAGGAGAGAGCUGUGCCCCUGUUCCCCGCCACGAUACCCGCGUGGGUUGGGGCUGCUGCCUCUUCCUCCCUCGCAUUUCACUGCAGCGCUGCUCAGAGCAGAAGGGCUUUUAAAUGUCUCCCAGUGCGCUAAGAGUUAAGGGGACUGUGCAGCUCUGACGAUAAGAAACAGAUGAUAAAGGUUAGAGGAGGGAUCGCGUUUCCAUUAUGCAGCCUGUAAAUGCAAACUAAUUAGAAUGCAGCCUUGUUUCUGAGAAAAUGCAAAGAAAGAAAAAAAGCAAAAAAAUCCCCCUUUCCUCCCCAGGAAAGAAGCCGAGUGAGCGCUAAAGGCCUGAGAGUAUGGAAUAACCCAGCUUUGCUACCUAGGUGUGCUUAGAGCUGGGAAUCACACGUCAGCCGAGGUGUGCGUGCAUGUGCGAGGUUGCCCCUUAGCGCGUUCCUGGGAGUGCUGGGAGGCGGCUGAGGAGGUGCUGGGCUGUCCUGGCCCUCUCCUGGGAAAACCACUGUGGUAUUUACCCUGUUCCAGCUUCCCUGUGGGACUGGAGGCAGCAGAUCCCGCCUAAGUCAGACCUGAUUCUUCAUUGUGUUGGUCUAAUGCUCAGCUGCAGGACAGGAAUUAAAGCAAACCCGGUGGGUUUUGGUAUGUUGUGAGAUUUUAGAGCACCACUAAAUCUAGCAGAACUUGAACAGUUAUUGCCAUUUAAGAAGAAAGCACUUAAGUAUGUGCUAAAGUUAGUCAUGUUUAUUGCUAUUUACACCGACACAGAUACUUGAUGGGAUCUCAUCUUACUAAGGCAGAAGGGAAGCAUGCCCCUAGAAUUUUUGCUGAGCUGGUGCCUAGGGUUUUGUGGCAAAAAGGGUCUAAAUGCUGGUUAUUUCUGGGACUUUAACACCACCUAUCUUUAACCAUUCCCCGAGAAAGGGGGGUAGGUCCUUAUCUGGUGACUUAGAGACACGCUGCAGUUCCCCUUAACGGAUCAGCUGGAUGCGGAUAUAUGACCAACGCCGAGUUUAAUUUUUUUUUCUUUUGUUUUCAUUUUCUUUUAAACUUUACUUUUCUCUCCUCUGCAGUUCAUUAGCAUCUUCCCUUUCCUUGCUUGCUUUUUCCCCCCUUGCUUUCUUUUGGAACCUAGAAGUAUUUCACUAUGGCUUGCCAAAUGAUUUCUAUCUUAGUGAAAAAGAACUUGCUAUUUCCUGAAAACCUACCACUGUUUUCUCUCCCCCACCCCCAACCCCCCCCCAAUACGUUCUGA